GGGCGGUUAACUCAGUGGUAGAGUGCCAUCCUCACACGGUGGAAGUCGCAGGUUCAAAUCCUGCACCGCCUACCA
rnacentral:tRNA from 1 species